rnacentral:rRNA from 1 species
GAUUGACCGCUGGCGGCAGGCCUACCACAUGCAAGUCGAGCGGAUGAAGGGAGCUUGCUCCUGGAUUCAGCGGCGGACGGGUGAGUAAUGCCUAGGAAUCUGCCUGGUAGUGGGGGAUAACGUCCGGAAACGGGCGCUAAUACCGCAUACGUCCUGAGGGAGAAAGUGGGGGAUCUUCGGACCUCACGCUAUCAGAUGAGCCUAGGUCGGAUUAGCUAGUUGGUGGGGUAAAGGCCUACCAAGGCGACGAUCCGUAACUGGUCUGAGAGGAUGAUCAGUCACACUGGAACUGAGACACGGUCCAGACUCCUACGGGAGGCAGCAGUGGGGAAUAUUGGACAAUGGGCGAAAGCCUGAUCCAGCCAUGCCGCGUGUGUGAAGAAGGUCUUCGGAUUGUAAAGCACUUUAAGUUGGGAGGAAGGGCAGUAAGUUAAUACCUUGCUGUUUUGACGUUACCAACAGAAUAAGCACCGGCUAACUUCGUG